rnacentral:rRNA from 1 species
UCAAAAACAUGUCUUUUUGAAAAUAAUUUAAAGUCUAAUCUGCCCACUGAUAAUUUAUUAAAGGGCUGCAGUAUAUUGACUGUACAAAGGUAGCAUAAUCAUUUGUCUUUUAAUUGAAGACUUGUAUGAAAGAUUUGAUGAAAUAUAGACUGUCUCUAAUUUAAAUAUAAAAAUUAAUUUUUUAGUUAAAAAGCUAAAAUAAUAUUAAAAGACGAGAAGACCCUAUAAAGUUUUAUAAUUUAUUUAUUUAUUUUUAAUUAUGUAUAUAAAAAAUUAUAAUUAGAGUAAAUUAUUUUAUUGGGGUGAUAGAAAAAUUAAAUAAACUUUUUUUUUUUAAAAACAUUUAUAAGUGAGUACAUGAUCCAUUAUUAAUGAUUAAAAGAAAAAAUUACUUUAGGGAUAACAGCGUAAUAUUUUUUUUUAGUACAAAUAAGAAAAAAAGUUUGCGACCUCGAUGUUGGAUUAAGAUAAAAUUUAAAUGCAAAAGUUUAAAAUUUUGAUCUGUUCGAUCAUUAAAAUCUUACAUGAUCUGAGCU